rnacentral:rRNA from 1 species
CUCGACUCUAUGAAGCUGGAAUCGCUAGUAAUCGCAAAUCAGCCAUGUUGCGGUGAAUACGUUCCCGGGCCUUGUACACACCGCCCGUCAAGCCAUGGAAGCUGGGGGUACCUGAAGUCGGUGACCGUAAAAGGAGCUGCCUAGGGUAAAACUAGUAACUGGGGCUAAGUCGUAACAAGGUAGCCGUACCGGAAGGUGCGGCUGGAACAUCUCUUUUAUAGAGCAUA